rnacentral:rRNA from 1 species
ACAUGACUCUCGGCAACGGAUAUCUCGGCUCUCGCAUCGAUGAAGAACGUAGCGAAAUGCGAUACGUGGUGUGAAUUGCAGAAUCCCGUGAACCAUCGAGUCUUUGAACGCAAGUUGCGCCCGAGGGACCCUCCCGAGGGCAUGCCUGCCUCAUGGGCGUUAGAA